rnacentral:misc_RNA from 1 species
AUGUACAGAUCCUCUAUUGGUGAAGCAAACAUAUAUCCAGAAACCCAGAAAAGCGAUAUACGCAAUGGAGUAGAAGAAGUAAAGCGAAGGUAGCUGAGUUAAGCCAGCAGAGAGGUAAUCCUUAGAGCCAUCGCGCUCGAGAUUGUAAACCUCCGUUCGGACGUUCAUGGAAACGCUUGUCUCCGGAGCGCAAUUGGCGAAGAAAAGAGAGUAUUC